GACGAACGCUGGCGGCGUGCUUAACACAUGCAAGUCGAACGGAAAGGCCCUGCUUGCAGGGUACUCGAGUGGCGAACGGGUGAGUAACACGUGGGUGAUCUGCCCUGCACUUCGGGAUAAGCCUGGGAAACUGGGUCUAAUACCGGAUAGGAGCCAUUUUUAGUGUGACGGUUGGAAAGUUUUUUCGGUGUAGGAUGAGCUCGCGGCCUAUCAGCUUGUUGGUGGGGUAAUGGCCUACCAAGGCGGCGACGGGUAGCCGGCCUGGGAGGGUGGACGGCCACAUUGGGACUGAGAGACGGCCCAGACUCCUACGGGAGGCAGCAGGGGGGAAUAUUGCACAAUGGGCGCAAGCCUGAUGCAGCGACGCCGCGUGGGGGAUGACGGCCUUCGGGUUGUAAACUCCUUUCGCUAGGGACGAAGCUUUUUGUGACGGUACCUAGAGAAGAAGCACCGGCUAACUACGUG
rnacentral:rRNA from 1 species